AUCAUGAGCUUUCACGGGGUCAGAGAGAACAGGGUAUAAAAGGAAUCAUAACAGAAAACACACAGGAACAUGCAGGCACACACUGCUGCUAGAAGCAAUGAUCACAGGAACAAUGAGUUUCUUCAAAAGAAAAAAACAGGGCUCACAUCACAAGGGUCUAAGGAGUUCCAGAAUCGGCCUGCAAUUGAACUGACUUCUUCCAAGUACUACUCCACUGAAUAAUGGGGAAAAGGACAUUAAACACAAUACAGAGACUUCAUUGUGUCCUGGACGUUCUCUGAAGAUAACGGGAGCAACGACCUCAGCAGUACCCAGAAAACAAAUUAUUGGGAAGAAAACAUAGAGAACCAGAGUGAGAACCUGUGUUCACUGAGGGAAUUGUAUCUGCACAUGAGAGGCUGAGGCAGGAGGAUCAUUCGUUUGAGAUGAGCUUUAAUUCCACAAGGAGUUAAGUGCCAGCCUGGACUACAAAGAAAGAGUCUCUGUAUCAAGAAAUGAGAAUAAUUAAUGAAUUCCAGUAGCACCCUUUCCAUUUCUUCAAGUUGAUGUUAAGGGGGCAGUGUUGUUAUAAUAAACUGCUUUUUGUUUUUCUUUUCCUGCCAUGGGAGUAGAGACUAUUUCAACUAUUCUCUGAAGAAUUAUAAACAUGGAGGUGCCAAAAACAAUGGGAGGAUUAUAUGCAAACAUUAAAAAAAAUGUGACCAGGUGGAAAGACUCAUGAGGGGGAAGAGUUGGUAUUCAAAUCAAAAGCAGCCAGUUUCUGGGCAGCGGACCUUCCUAUGCUGCUACUGGCCUGAGCAAAGGAGGUGUUACUUUGGAGAAAUUCUGAUAGGCUUGAUGUAUAUCGGAACUUUGUAGCAUAAACCUUAUACAUGCUAGCCAUUCAGGGAAUUUAGUAUGAUCAUCUAAGGGAGAACUAACAAAUCACACUUCAAGAAUUGAAGCUGCAUUUGUAGACUCUUUAAUUGUUAGAGGCUUCAGAAAGACCUUGCACAUUUCCGCUGACCCCAGAGGCAAGGUGACGAAGAAUUCAUAGACUCAGAACUCUGAGUGAGCAACUAUAUUAAAGAAAUGAAAGGUACAUUGUGUCACUGGAGUUAAUCAAGAAAGAAUGCUCAAAGCAUCUAUCUGCAGAGCAUCUUCCAGCUCUUGUACAGAGGCUGGCAUAGGGGAGACUUACUCAGCCUUGAUGUUAUUCUGAGUUUGGGAAAGCUUCAGCAAGCAGAUAAGAGAGAUUUUUAAUUAGGAAACGAAGUAGUCACAAUAGAGGAAAGAAAUUACAGUGUCCGCCAAGCUUUCACGUCCGCGGUUUUAAUUUUCUUUAUGUAUUCCCUUUCAUAGAUUAUUACAAAAGUUAAUUUCAGCGGAUGCCUUUAGCGUGUCAAGCUUUUCAAAAUGUAGAAUUAUCAACCUUCAGGUAAAUGAAGUUUCGUUGUGUUAUGUUAAAUAUCAACCUUUUUUUUUUUUGUACCUGAGUGGAAAUAAGAUCGCCAUUUGCAAAUUUAAAGUUCUACCAUUCUGUCAGUACUUAUCAUUUUCUGCCCUUAGUGAAGCGUUGCUUGGCUCCAGUUUACUUUUGAGGGAAAAAAAUCACGUGUUUUUAUUUAAAAAUAAGAGACAAGGACUGGAGAGAUGGUUUAGAGGUUAAAAGCAUUGGUAGUUCUUCAAGAAGUCCUGAGUUCAAAUCCCAGCAACUACAUGGUGUAUCACAAGCAUUUAUCUGUGAUCUGAGGCUAUCUUUUGGCAUGCAGGUAUACAUGUAGGCCCAACACUGUAUACAUAAUUAAUAAGUCUCCUGGCACAUAUAUAGCAGAAGCCUGCCUUGUCUGGCUUCAGUGGGAGAGGAUGUGCAAUUCCUGUAGAGACUUGAUACCCCAAGCUGGGCGAUACUUUGAUGCUCUCAGAGACCAAAGGGAGGAGGAAUAGGGGAGAAAGAAUUCUGCAAGGGGAGACCCUGAAAAGGGGCAACAUUCAGGAUGUAAGUAAAUAAUUAAUUAAUAAAAAAGAAA
rnacentral:lncRNA from 1 species